UACACUCCUACGGGAGGCAGCAGUGGGGAAUUUUGGACAAUGGGCGAAAGCCUGAUCCAGCAAUGCCGCGUGAGUGAAGAAGGCCUUCGGGUUGUAAAGCUCUUUUGUCAGGGAAGAAACGGUGAAAGCUAAUAUCUUUUGCUAAUGACGGUACCUGAAGAAUAAGCACCGGCUAACUACGUGCCAGCAGCCGCGGUAAUACGUAGGGUGCAAGCGUUAAUCGGAAUUACUGGGCGUAAAGCGUGCGCAGGCGGUUUUGUAAGUCUGAUGUGAAAUCCCCGGGCUCAACCUGGGAAUUGCAUUGGAGACUGCAAGGCUAGAAUCUGGCAGAGGGAGGUAGAAUUCCACGUGUAGCAGUGAAAUGCGUAGAUAUGUGGAGCAACACCGAUGGCGAAGGCAGCCCCCUGGGUCAAGAUUGACGCUCAUGCACGAAAGCGUGGGGAGCAAACAGGAUUAGAAACCCUAGUAGUCCCAUGAU
rnacentral:rRNA from 1 species